rnacentral:lncRNA from 1 species
UAGAGAGAGAUGAGUUAAAGAGAGAAGUUGGAAUACAAGAGCGUUCUUUGGUCCCAAGUAUGAAGAGGAGCAACUUCGGUUACAUUAGCCUCUGGUUCCAGUUCCCUGCCACUAGGUGUCACUAAGUAAUCUAAUUAAAUACCAAUUUAUGACUCCAACAAAUGAGAAGACACGGAACGAAAUGAGGCAGAAAUAAAAAUUAAGGUCAUGUGGCCUAAAUAAAAUCCUGUAGCUUAUCUACAACAGCUAUUUCAAAACAGCGGGAUGAGUCCCUGGAACAUGAAUUGGAAAGUUCAUGAAUUAACAAGAACACGUAAGAGGGCUUAGUCUUUAUGGGGGAAAAUGAAUAAAUUCUUUAUAGUUUAUGUACUCUUCCUUUUUUCUCUCCUAUUAAAUUGGACAUCCUGCUGCCUUCAUUUUCAUGAGCAUAAUUAGAUUUUAUGUGAUCCAAACGUUUUGGCUGGGCCGUCAGCAUCUGCUAAGGCAACUGUACUUCCCUUGAUCCUUUAUUCAGAUAUUUUAGUGUUAAACUUUGUUACUAUCGUUGAGGGUGCUGACCUGAACUACCUAAAAAGCAAACUUGAUCAGUGUUAAUACCUGUCCUUGGGAAGAUCCUAUUUAUCCAUCAGGAUUCAAAUGAAAUGUUUUCAAGUUUGUCAAACCUGGUCCCCAGGGAGCCCUUCCGUUCACUUCAUUUUUGCCACAGGACAGCUGCAUAUUUUUCCAUGAGGCAUUUUUCUCCUGACCCGGUCAUUGUGUGUUUAUGUACCUGUCUUCUGCACAGACUGUGAGCUCCCUAAGGAUGAGGACCAGCUCCACAAAAACUCGAUGCUGCUGCCCUGCCACUUGGCUUCCAGCUCUGCUGUAGAGACCCUCUGUGGCCCUCAUGCGGUGCAGAACAAGUCAGGAGGCAAUUACUGAUUCCUCUGAGCACCCCCCUAGAAUUUUCUCCAACAUCAUUUCAGCAAGAGAUAAAACCGAUUGGCUGCAUCUUGAACGUUUUUUCACAAAUUAUAAUACCACCAGGGCACCUGGGUGGCCCAGUAGUGGUUGAACAUCUGCCUUCAGCCCAGGGCAUGACCCCGGAGUCCUGGGAUCGAGUCCUGCAUCAGGCUCCCCCCAGGGAGCCUGCUUCUCCCUCUUCCUGUGUCUCUGCCUCUCUCUCUGGGUCUCUCAUGAAUAAAUAAAUAAAAUCUUUUUUAAAAAUUGUAAGAUCACCAAGACUCCUGUUUUAGAGAUGCGGAAACUUAAUGUUUAGAGAAGUUAAAGUGGAUUAGGGCCACACAUCUCGUAAGUGGUGAAACCAGUUAACAAAUGUAAGAACCCCUAUUCUUUGCCCCUUGAAUAUAUCCAGUUUAUCUCAGCCCCAGAAGGAUCAAUUUUUAUUUUUUUAAUUUAUUUUAUUUUUUUUGAGGGAUCAAUUUUUAAAAACACAUUUCCUGCAAGAUAACUAUUUAAGUCAUUUCCAUUAAAGAGAAAAGAUAAUGAUUUUCUCCCUCAUGUGCUCUGACCUGGCUGCUGACAACUCAAUUUCCAGAGAAGAAGGAGAGUCCCAACUUCUGUAACUGACAGUCUCUUCCACCCCCAUCCAGACCUCAGGCUGUUCCGAACAUUCCUGAAUCAGAAAUUAAAUAUGGAGAAAUCUAAGUCAGUUGUGGAAAAAUCUAAGCUUAGCACUCACCAUGUCUUGUAGUUAGUGCUACGGGGUUCACUUCUGCAUGCACCUUAGAGGUGGGACAUCACUUUAAAAUAAUCAAUUUACUGAUAUAACAUGUCCAUUAC